UUCAGAGUGGGAUAGAUAUGGGAGCCUGACGACAACUGCUUGUAGCUAGUGCCCUCAGGUGGAGAAUACAGGACAUGUUAGGUUUCUCCCAGUAUGAUCAGCGGUGAGUUCUAUUGGGAAUAUUCACAUCUGAGCCUGAAGGUCUGGAGUGCUGCUGGUUUUCUGUUCUACCUGAUAAUUAAUUGCACCCACUUGGUGUCCCAGAUCUAAAUCAGUCACUGAUCAGAGGGGAAUCACCCACUUGGUGUCCCAGAUCUAAAUCAGUCACUGAUUAGAGGGGAAUCACCCACUUGGUGUCCCAGGUCUAAAUCAGUCCCUGAUCAGAGGGGAAUCACCCACUUGGUGUCCCAGGUCUAAAUCAGUCCCUGAUUAGAGGGGAAUCACCCACUUGGUGUCCCAGGUCUAAAUCAGUCCCUGAUCAGAGGGGAAUCACCCACUUGGUGUCCCAGGUCUAAAUCAGUCACUGAUCAGAGGGGAAUCACCCACUUGGUGUCCCAGGUCUAAAUCAGUCACUGAUUAGAGGGGAAUCACCCACUUGGUGUCCCAGGUCUAAAUCAGUCCCUGAUUAGAGGGGAAUCACCCACUUGGUGUCCCAGGUCUAAAUCAGUCCCUGAUUAGAGGGGAAUCACCCACUUGGUGUCCCAGGUCUAAAUCAGUCCCUGAUUAGAGGGGAAUCACCCACUUGGUGUCCCAGGUCUAAAUCAGUCCCUGAUUAGAGGGGAAUCACCCACUUGGUGUCCCAGGUCUAAAUCAGUCCCUGAUUAGAGGGGAAUCACCCACUUGGUGUCCCAGGUCUAAAUCAGUCCCUGAUUAGAGGGGAAUCACCCACUUGGUGUCCCAGGUCUAAAUCAGUCCCUGAUUAGAGGGGAAUCACCCACUUGGUGUCCCAGGUCUAAAUCAGUCCCUGAUUAGAGGGGAAUCACCCACUUGGUGUCCCAGGUCUAAAUCAGUCCCUGAUUAGAGGGGAAUCACCCACUUGGUGUCCCAGGUCUAAAUCAGUCCCUGAUUAGAGGGGAAUCACCCACUUGGUGUCCCAGGUCUAAAUCAGUCCCUGAUUAGAGGGGAAUCACCCACUUGGUGUCCCAGGUCUAAAUCAGUCCCUGAUUAGAGGGGAAUCACCCACUUGGUGUCCCAGGUCUAAAUCAGUCCCUGAUUAGAGGGGAAUCACCCACUUGGUGUCCCAGGUCUAAAUCAGUCCCUGAUUAGAGGGGAAUCACCCACUUGGUGUCCCAGAUCUAAAUCAGUCCCUGAUCAGAGGGGAAUCACCCACUUGGUGUCCCAGGUCUAAAUCAGUCCCUGAUCAGAGGGGAACAAUGAAAAUCAGCAGUGGAAAUGGCUUCCAGGUCCAGAUCUGAAUUUCCAUGAUAUACUGUAUAUCUCCAAGAACGGACUCAAAUAUGGGAACCUU